GGAGGAAAGCAGGGGAUCGAAAGACCUUAUGCUUUUGGAGCGGCCGAUGUCUGAUUAGCUAGUUGGUAAGGUAAUGGCUUACCAAGGCAACGAUCAGUAGUUGGUCUGAGAGGACGACCAGCCACACUGGGACUGAGACACGGCCCAGACUCCUACGGGAGGCAGCAGUGGGGAAUUUUGGACAAUGGGCGCAAGCCUGAUCCAGCAAUGCCGCGUGAGUGAAGAAGGCCUUCGGGUUGUAAAGCUCUUUCAGUUGAGAAGAAAAGAUUGUGACUAAUAAUUGCAAUUCAUGACGGUAUCAACAGAAGAAGCACCGGCUAACUACGUGCCAGCAGCCGCGGUAAUACGUAGGGUGC
rnacentral:rRNA from 1 species